UACAGAGGAUGCAAGCGUUAUCCGGAAUGAUUGGGCGUAAAGCGUCUGUAGGUGGCCAACUAAGUCAGACGUGAAAUCCCUCAGCUUAACUGGGGAACUGCGUCUGAUACUGGAUGGCUUGAGUGUGGGAGAGGAAUGCGGAAUUCCAGGUGUAGCGGUGAAAUGCGUAGAUAUCUGGAGGAACACCGGUGGCGAAGGCGGCAUUCUGGACCAUAACUGACACUGAGAGACGAAAGCCAGGGGAGCAAACGGG
rnacentral:rRNA from 1 species